UGGGGAAUAUUGGACAAUGGGCGCAAGCCUGAUCCAGCCAUGCCGCGUGAGUGAUGAAGGCCUUAGGGUUGUAAAGCUCUUUCAGUGGGGAAGAUAAUGACGGUACCCACAGAAGAAGCCCCGGCUAACUUCGUGCCAGCAGCCGCGGUAAUACGAAGGGGGCUAGCGUUGUUCGGAUUUACUGGGCGUAAAGCGCACGUAGGCGGAUUGGUCAGUUAGGGGUGAAAUCCCAGAGCUCAACUCUGGAACUGCCUUUAAUACUGCCAGUCUAGAGUCCGGAAGAGGUGAGUGGAACUCCUAGUGUAGAGGUGGAAUUCGUAGAUAUUAGGAAGAACACCAGUGGCGAAGGCGGCUCACUGGUCCGGUACUGACGCUGAGGUGCGAAAGCGUGGGGAGCAAACA
rnacentral:rRNA from 1 species